rnacentral:rRNA from 1 species
CUUAAGCAUAUCAAUAAGCGGAGGAAGG